GGCUGGCUACCAUGCAGUCAAGGGGAAAGUUGCCUUCGGGCGAUGAGUAUACUGGCGGACGGGUGAGUAACACGUAGGCGACCUGCCUUUGGGAACGGGAUAACACUGCCAACGCGGUGCUAAUACCGUAUGAGUCUUGCCUUAUUAGAAGGAGGCAAGGGAAAGCGGGCUUUCGGGCUCGCGCCCGGAGAUGGGCCUGCGUCCCAUUAGCUGGUUGGUAGGGUAUAGGCCUACCAAGGCGACGAUGGGUAGCCGACCUGAGAGGGUGAUCGGCCACACUGGGACUGAGAUACGGCCCAGACUCCUACGGGAGGCAGCAGUGAGGAAUAUUGCGCAAUGGAGGAAACUCUGACGCAGCAACGCCGCGUGCGGGAUGAAGUUCUUAGGAAUGUAAACCGCUGUUUGGAAGGAAGAAUGGGUACAAUUCGAAUAGGGUUGUGCAUUGACGGUACUUUCAGAGGAAGCCCCGGCUAACUACGUGCCAGCAGCCGCGGUAAUACGUAGGGGGCGAGCGUUGUCCGGAAUUAUUGGGCGUAAAGGGCGCGCAGGCGGGGAUUUAAGUCUGAGGUGAAAGUAUGCGGCUUAACCGUAUAAUUGCCUUGGAUACUGGAUUUCUUGAGUACGGGAGAGGGAAAGCGGAAUUCCUGGUGUAGCGGUGAAAUGCGUAGAUAUCAGGAAGAACACCGGCGGCGAAGGCGGCUUCCUGGCCCGGAACUGACGCUGAGGCGCGAAAGUGCGGGGAGCGAACAGGAUUAGAUACCCUGGUAGUCCGCACAGUAAACGAUGGGUACUAGGUGUCGGCCGCGAGGUCGGCGCCGGAGCAAACGCAUUAAGUACCCCGCCUGGGGAGUACGAUCGCAAGAUUGAAACUCAAAGGAAUUGACGGGGGCCCGCACAAGCGGUGGAGCAUGUGGUUUAAUUCGAUGCAACGCGAAGAACCUUACCUGGGCUGAACUGCAGUGACUGUCGUGAAAGCGGA
rnacentral:rRNA from 1 species